UAGGGAAUAUUGGACAAUGGGUGCAAGCCUGAUCCAGCCAUGCCGCGUGCAGGAAGAAGGCCUUCUGGGUUGUAAACUGCUUUUGCCAGGGGAUAAAAUAGCUAUGCGUAGCGAAUUGAAGGUACCUGGUGAAUAAGCCACGGCUAACUACGUGCCAGCAGCCGCGGUAAUACGUAGGUGGCAAGCGUUGUCCGGAUUUAUUGGGUUUAAAGGGUGCGUAGGCGGUCAAUUAAGUCAGUGGUGAAAUACGGCAGCUUAACUGUCGAGGUGCCAUUGAUACUGGUUGACUUGAGUACUGAUGAGGUAGGCGGAAUGGACGGUGUAGCGGUGAAAUGCUUAGAGAUCGUCCAGAACACCGAUAGCGAAGGCAGCUUACUAAGGAGUAACUGACGCUGAGGCACGAAAGUGUGGGGAUCAAACA
rnacentral:rRNA from 1 species